rnacentral:rRNA from 1 species
GAUGAACGCUGGCGGCGUGCCUAAUACAUGCAAGUCGAGCGAACAGAUGAGGAGCUUGCUCCUCUGACGUUAGCGGCGGACGGGUGAGUAACACGUGGAUAACCUACCUAUAAGACUGGGAUAACUUCGGGAAACCGGAGCUAAUACCGGAUAAUAUAUUGAACCGCAUGGUUCAAUAGUGAAAGACGGCUUUGCUGUCACUUAUAGAUGGAUCCGCGCCGCAUUAGCUAGUUGGUAAGGUAACGGCUUACCAAGGCAACGAUGCGUAGCCGACCUGAGAGGGUGAUCGGCCACACUGGAGCUGAGACACGGUCCAGGCUCCUACGGGAGGCAGCAGUAGGGAAUCUGCCGCAAUGGGCGAAAGCCUGACGGAGCAACGCCGCGUGAGUGAUGAAGGUCUUCGGAUCGUAAAACUCUGUUAUUAGGGAAGAACAAAUGUGUAAGUAACUAUGCACGUCUUGACGGUACCUAAUCAGAAAGCCACGGCUAACUACGUG